rnacentral:rRNA from 1 species
CAGCAGCCGCGGUAAUACGGAGGGAGCUAGCGUUGUUCGGAAUUACUGGGCGUAAAGCGCACGUAGGCGGUUAUUCAAGUCAGAGGUGAAUGCCCGGGGCUCAACCCCGGAACUGCCUUUGAAACUAGAUGACUGGAAUCUUGGAGAGGUCAGUGGAAUUCCGAGUGUAGAGGUGAAAUUCGUAGAUAUUCGGAAGAACACCAGUGGCGAAGGCGACUGACUGGACAAGUAUUGACGCUGAGGUGCGAAAGCGUGGGGAGCAAACAGGAUUAGAUACCCCUGUAGUCCCUGUCUCUUAUAC